rnacentral:rRNA from 1 species
AGGUUUGCUGGAGGUAUCAGAAGUGCGAAUGCUGACAUGAGUAACGAUAAGGGGGGUGAAAAACCUCCCCGCCGGAAGAUCAAGGUUUCCUGCGCAACGCUAAUCGGCGCAGGGUAAGUCGGCCCCUAAGGCGAGGGCGAAAGCCGUAGUCGAUGGGAAGCAGGUUAACAUUCCUGCACUUCUUUUUAUUGCGAUGGAGGGACGGAGAAGGCUAGGCCAGCAGGGCGAUGGUUGUCCCUGUUUAAGGUGGUAGGCUGAAUUCUUAGGUAAAUCCGGGAGUUCAUUAAGGCCGAGAGCUGAUGACGAGUGCCCUAGGGCGCGAAGUGGUUGAUGCCAUGCUUCCAAGAAAAGCUUCUAAGCUUCAGAUAAAAAGGAACCGUACUGUAAACCGACACAGGUGAUCAGGUAGAGAAUACCAAGGCGCUUGAGAGAACUCGGGUGAAGGAACUAGGCAAAAUGGUACCGUAACUUCGGGAGAAGGUACGCUCUCUUUGGUGAUCGGACUUGCUCCGUAAGCUGAGGAGAGUCGAAGUGACCAGGUGGCUGCGACUGUUUAUUAAAAACAUAGCACUCUGCAAACUCGUAAGAGGAAGUAUAGGGUGUGACGCCUGCCCGGUGCCGGAAGGUUAAUUGAUGGGGUUAGCUUAGGCGAAGCUCUUGAUCGAAGCCCCGGUAAACGGCGGCCGUAACUAUAACGGUCCUAAGGUAGCGAAAUUCCUUGUCGGGUAAGUUCCGACCUGCACGAAUGGCGUAACGAUGGCCACACUGUCUCCACCCGAGACUCAGUGAAAUUGAAAUCGCUGUUAAGAUGCAGUGUACCCGCGGCUAGACGGAAAGACCCCGUGAACCUUUACUAUAGCUUCACACUGGACUUUGACCUUACUUGUGUAGGAUAGGUGGGAGACUUUGAAGCGUGAUCGCUAGAUUGCGUGGAGUCAUCCUUGAAAUACCACCCUGGUAAUGUUGAGGUUCUAACUUGGCUCCUGAAACGGGAGUGAGGACAGUGUGUGGUGGGUAGUUUGACUGGGGCGGUCUCCUCCUAAAGAGUAACGGAGGAGCACGAAGGUUGGCUAAGUACGGUCGGACAUCGUACGGUUAGUGUAAUGGUAGAAGCCAGCUUAACUGCGAGACAGACACGUCGAGCAGGUACGAAAGUAGGUCAUAGUGAUCCGGUGGUUCUGAAUGGAAGGGCCAUCGCUCAA